GCUUAGCCCUAAACCUAAAUAGCCAAACAACAAUGCUAUUCGCCAGAGUACUACUAGCAACAGCUUAAAACUCAAAGGACUUGGCGGUGCUUUACAUCCCUCUAGAGGAGCCUGUUCUGUAAUCGAUAAACCCCGAUAAACCUCACCAACUCUUGCUAAUACAGCCUAUAUACCGCCAUCUUCAGCAAACCCUAAAAAGGAAACAAAGUAAGCAAAACCAUGGAGCAUAAAAACGUUAGGUCAAGGUGUAGCCUAUGAGUUGGAAAGAAAUGGGCUACAUUUUCUAAUAUAGAAUAUCAACGAAAGUUCUCGUGAAACCGAGAACAGAAGGAGGAUUUAGUAGUAAAUUAAGAAUAGAGAGCUUAAUUGAAUCAGGCCAUGAAGCAC
rnacentral:rRNA from 1 species